AUGCUCACUUCAGCAGCACAUGUACUAAAAUUAGAACGAUACAGAGAUUAGCAUGGCCCCUGUGCAAGGAUGACAUGCCAAUUCAUGAAGCAUUCCAUAUUUUU